GCCCGUGUGGCUCAGUGGAUAGAGCGUCGGCCUGCAGACAGAAGGGUCCCCGGUUCGACUCCGAUCAAGGGCA
rnacentral:tRNA from 1 species